rnacentral:rRNA from 1 species
UUUGACCUCAAAUCAGGUAGGACUACCCGCUGAACUUAAGCAUAUCAAUAAGCGGAGGAAAAGAAACCAACAGGGAUUGCCUCAGUAGCGGCGAGUGAAGCGGCAAAAGCUCAAAUUUGAAAUCUGGCGUCUUUGGCGUCCGAGUUGUAAUUUGAAGAAGGUAUCUUUGGGCCCGGCUCUUGUCUAUGUUCCUUGGAACAGGACGUCACAGAGGGUGAGAAUCCCGUGCGAUGAGAUGACCCGGGUCUGUGUAAAGUUCCUUCGACGAGUCGAGUUG